GUGAGGAAUAUUGGUCAAUGGGCGCAAGCCUGAACCAGCCAUGCCGCGUGCAGGAAGACGGUCCUAUGGAUUGUAAACUGCUUUUAUUUGGGAAUAAACUCCGGUACGUGUACCGGCCUGAAGGUACCAAAUGAAUAAGCACCGACUAACUCCGUGCCAGCAGCCGCGGUAAUACGGCGGGUGCAAGCGUUAUCCGGCAUCAUUGGGCUCAAAGCGUCCGCAGGCGGUCUUAUAAGUCAGUGGUGAAAGCCUACAGCUCAACUGUAGAACUGCCAUUGAUACUGUAGGACUUGAAUUCGAUCGAAGUGGGCGGAAUGUGACAUGUGGCGGUGAAAUGCUUAGAUAUGUCACAGAACACCGAUAGCGAAGGCAGCUCACUAGGUGUGGAUUGACGCUCAGGGACGAAAGCGUGGGGAGCAAACAGGAUUAGAAACCCGGGUAGUCC
rnacentral:rRNA from 1 species